AAAGCGUGCGCAGGCGGUUAUGUAAGACAGAUGUGAAAUCCCCGGGCUCAACCUGGGAACUGCAUUAGUGACUGCAUAGCUGGAGUACGGCAGAGGGGGGAUGGAAUUCCGCGUGUAGCAGUGAAAUGCGUAGAUAUGCGGAGGAACACCGAUGGCGAAGGCAAUCCCCUGGGCCUGUACUGACGCUCAUGCACGAAAGCGUGGGGAGCAAACAGGAUUAGAACCCGGGU
rnacentral:rRNA from 1 species